UAGUCCACGCCGUAAACGAUGGUCACUAGCUGUUUGGACUUCGGUCUGAGUGGCUAAGCGAAAGUGAUAAGUGACCCACCUGGGGAGUACGUUCGCAAGAAUGAAACUCAAAGGAAUUGACGGGGGCCCGCACAAGCGGUGGAGCAUGUGGUUUAAUUCGAUGAUACGCGAGGAACCUUACCAGGGCUUAAAUGUAAGUUGCAUUAGCUAGAGAUAGCUAUUUCUUCGGACAGACUACAAGGUGCUGCAUGGUUGUCGUCAGCUCGUGCUGUGAAGUGUCGGGUUAAGUCCCAUAACGAGCGCAACCCCCAUUUCUAGUUGCCAGCGGUUCGGCCGGGGACUCUAGAGAAACUGCCAGCGUAAGCUGUGAGGAAGGUGGGGAUGACGUCAAAUCAUCACGGCCCUUACAUCCUGGGCCACACACGUGCUACAAUGGUAGGGACAACAGGUUGCCAACCCGCGAGGGUGAGCCAAUCCCAAAACUCUAUCUCAGUUCGGA
rnacentral:rRNA from 1 species